rnacentral:lncRNA from 1 species
UUUUUUUUUGAAAAAUUCCCCAAUCUCCCUCCCCAAUGUGGGGUACGAUUCACAAAUGCAUUUGAAAGGAACCACCUAUUUGGCUCAAAUGAGGAUGCAAGGGAUAAAUAGUGUUUGGAUUGUAGAAGCGAUAGCCAAAGUAUCAUUCUUACACUUUAUGACAACCAGAGUAACGAAAUGCUCAUUGACAACCCAUUCUUCUUUUUGAUAUUUUGAAAAUUCUCCCAUGAAGGGUAGUGAUCAUCAAGGUGUUUAUUUGGAACGAAAAUUUUCUUUUAAAGGCUCAAACGGGAGAGCAAAUGAUAAAAUCUGUAUAGGUAGAGAAAAGAAUGCUCGAAGUAUCAUUCCAAAUUUUCAAAACAAACAAGAAUAAUGCACAUUUUUGCUUUCACUUAGAUGUGAAUUGAAUCCGGUUAAACCAAUGGGGAUUUUUCCAAGCAAAGAAUGUCCCAAUUUGCAAUUUAUCAAUCAAUGUGACUGAUUUUAUUUUGAGGUUAAAUGAAGGAAAAAAGGAAUCUCAUAGGGCCUUUUGAGUGACAUCUUUUAAUUCUGAACACUCUUAUUAUGAAUUUUCAGGCCAGAGGUUGAAAAAAAUCCCAAUUUAGUCUUAUUUCUUAAAAUUCAUCAUGAAAUCUCCAAUGAAUAAGAAUAAAGAAUGAAAUGUACAUAAAUAUACACAAAACAAUGAUUGUCCAAAAAUUUUAUUGCUGAAAAAGUUUGAAACAAAAUUUCUCAUUCAAUUUACGAUACAAAUGAGAAGAGAGAAACUUGUAAAGAGCUCCAUAUAUACACUUUUUGUCUCCUUUUCUUUUUGGAACAAAAUGUAUUAACAAAUCAAAUAUACAAAAUUUUCCUUUGGAAAACAAUUACAACAUCUCUCAGAGGCUUUAGCGUAGAGCUUCCAGAUAGAUCAUUUAUGUUUUCAUUAUAGGACCUGCCCAAGAAUCAAAUAAUACUUUCUGAACUUUAUCGGAUCAAAAAUUGUUAUCCAAUAUAGGGAAAUAUUUUCACCUUAUUGAAACAUUUUUAUGAAUGCAGGGGAGGGGGAAAAAAUAAAAAGAAAAAUACCCAGAGUCAGUAAGUAAGAAUAAAAAAUCGGUAUGCAUGUCCUAUGGGGGACCCUUUUUAUGCCAAGGGUAGGCCUAGCAUGAAAAUGCAAUCCGCUAGAAUAGGCACUAUACAAUACCUGAUGGAUCCGAUCAACUCAUGGAGUGAAAAAUAAUUUGAAAAUUUUGGCCCAUUGGAAUAAGAAGAGACGUUUGUCAAAAUGAGGACCUCGUCCGAAGGGAUUGAUUACCUUUGAUUUGCAAAACGCAUGGGUUUGACCUUGACGAACUUCCUAUUCAAAGAGAUUGGAAUUCGUUGAUAAAAUUUCUCAGUGAAUUACGGGUCAAAACCCCAAUUGAUCAAGUGAUUGCAACAGACGGUUUUCUUCAAAAUUGACUAGAUUUCCCAAUUUGGAAUUUGACAAUGAAACCCCAAUAGGGCAAAUGGAUUGAAUGAAGUUGACAAUUUAUUUAAAAUCGACCAAAUUACCCUAAAAAGGGAAACAGGUCAAAUGAAUUGAAUGAAAUUUAUCCAAAAUUAAUCAGAUCUCCCUAAAAAGGGUAAAUUGAUCAAACAGAUUGAACGAAACUUGAUUUAUUCAAAAUCGGCUCGGUUGCCCUAAAAAUGGGUAAAUUGGGCAAAAGACCCUAAAAAGGGUAAUUUGGUCAAUUGAAUUGACAAUUUAUUCAAAAGCGACCGAAUGACCCUAAAAAGGGUAAAUUGGUCAAAAGAUUUGAUGAUUUAUUCAAAAUCGACCGAAUGACCCUAAAAAGGGUAAAUUGGUCAAAUGAAUUGAUGAUUUAUUCAAAAAUCGACCGGAUGACCCUAAAAAGGGUAAAUUGGUCAAAGGAAUGGUUUAUUUAAAAUCGAUCAUGAAUUGACAAAAUGGAUUGAUCGAAUCGGCCGGCCAUUGGUGGUUUCAGAAAAUCAGUCUAUGAGCCUUCUAAAAAUCAAAUUUUGGCCUCAAUUUAUUUAUCAUCUCAAUAGGAGGAAUCAUUUGUGAAUUUCUUCGAAUUAAUGUCCUUUUACGCAAGGGAAUUUUACCAAGUUUGAUAAAUUGGCCAAAAAGUGAUUAUUAGAUGCUCAUAUUCCAAAGAUCACUCUAUGAAAAUGAUCGGAUCCUACCUUACCUUGUGCACUACCCCCUCUGGAUGGUACAAAAUGUAAACGUGCAAGUCUCACUGGAUUAAGUAUCCGAGACACAAGGUGGCUUAUUCCUGACACGGGAUCCCCUAAAUGGCAUUCCCUUUCUAGGGUUUAUGCAUGAUGUCAUUUAUUAAAGCGAUGUAAAUAUGUGACAAAUAUGACCUAAGGGACAUAAAUAAUGCAUCGGGGGAAAAAAGGUCUAAAAUGAAAUGUAUUUAUUAAGUAUAAUGACUGAAAUUUAAACAUGUGAGUUAUCUAGUGGAUAGGUCACUAAAAGAGUGCCAAAAGGGCCUCUUAUUGCUAGGGCAUAUGAAUGCAAACCAAGGAAACAAUGAAAUGGUUAGUGCAGUUGAUAGUACACAUAACACAUUGGGAGCAAUUAAGAAAAGAAAUAGGAUAAAAGCCAAUAAAAAGGGGUGGAACCCCUUCCCUCGUGCCUAAUUGUGCUUAAAAAGGGUGAGGCUGACUCUACCCUAGGCAAAUGCUAACAUGGAUGCAUGAGGUUUGGUUCAUUAAUGCCUAGACUCGAUAAAGCUUCGGCUCCCAAGCCUUCAGACCUAAAGGCGAAGGGUCAUCACUCCCAGGGCCUUUGAUCGGUGGCUCGAGUGAUCCCUUAGGUAGCGCUAUGGGCGCAGAGCACACCAGCCGCCUACCCAAGGCAAUCGAUCCUAAUCCUACAAGGCGGUGUGGGAAA